UAGAAAUAGAUGAGAUAGUCAAUCAGAAGUUAUAUCAAAAGAAUAUAAUUUUCCUAAAAAUAUAAACCCUAAAUCCAAUUUCUCAACAAUUGGGAUGAACCCUUGACAGCAGGUAUAGAUAUGCAGCAAUGGUCUGAUCCGAAUGCAUCCUAAAGUUGUGAGCUUCAAUUUUUAAAAAUGGCAGCUGAAUCCUGUGUUGCGAAUGCAAAAUAUACAUAUAUACAUGACAAUCAUAAGGGAUCACUAGAAACCCUCGAUUCACACCAUGUUGUUGUUCGAAAAAGCAGUGCAAAGGCAUUCAUUGUAUACCUCUCUGCUCUUCUUCUCACAACAACUGCCUUCUCUCUCUUUCUCCUACAGGAUGGAUCAAUUCAUGUACUUCUUUGGAGCUUAUUUUUAAGUGCAUUCCUUGUCAAACAAUUUAUUUGGAAGCCUGUUGAGAAAGAGUCCAUCAUAAUCAUGCCAGCUUUUGGAGUCCAGCUUGAAACUCACUACAGCAGGUGUCAAACUGGAAAAAGGAAAAGUUGGUUCAAUGUGGGAGAAUAAUCCACCGCUUCAUUCCCAUUGAAAAGAUUUUGAAACCUGUCCUGAAUGAAUGUGUGACCCCAGUCACUUGUUAUUGGAACUUGUCUCUGAUUGUACGUGAGGAAGAAGAACUUGUGUUAGUUUUCAAGGAACUUCACCCACCAGUGAAAAUGUUAAUUCCAAUCUGGAAGGCGUUAUGUGCUGCCACUGACAACCCGGUCACUCAAGUUCCAAGUAGAUAAAAUAAUCAAUGGUGUUGAACUGUUUCGAAUAAAGAGCUAUGAUGCACCACAAUCUACCUUCUCGGACAGUUGUUGGUCAAUGGUACCUGAUAUAAUAUAACAUCAUUAUGAGAUUGGCGACUGUGCUAAAUUUUGUUCCCUCAACUGAGUGUUUUGUACAUGAUUGAAUUGAUAUACAUUUCAUAUUCUGUAAACGGAAGAUGGGAAAUUUUAAGAAAUUGAUUUUACCAAUCUAUUCAUUAGAAGAAUCAAUAUAGUGUCUGCUUUAAUCCUUUUACUGGUCACUGCACUUCAAAAUAUGUAAAUCAUAGGGAAUACCUGCAUGGACAUCAUUAGCAUGCAGUAGAUUAAGCCCACCUGGUUGUUGGAUGAUUGAAUUGCUGCUUCUUUGAGAAAGAUGGUUGUCAAAUUUUUUCAUUCAAUUAUAUCUUCUGUCCAGCUGCCGUGCUGUGUUGAUUUAA